AGAGUUUGAUCCUGGCUCAGAACGAACGCUGGCGGCGUGCCUAACACAUGCAAGUCGAACGUGAUCCGCCCUUCGGGGUGGUGAAAGUGGCGCACGGGUGAGUAACGCGUGGAUAAUCUGCCCGAGGAUUUGGGAUAACAUCUCGAAAGGGGUGCUAAUACCGAAUAAGCCCACGGGGUCUACGGAUCUUGCGGGAAAAGGGGGGGACCUUCGGGCCUCCUGUCCUUGGAUGAGUCUGCGUACCAUUAGCUAGUUGGUGGGGUAAUGGCCUACCAAGGCGACGAUGGUUAGCUGGUCUGAGAGGAUGAUCAGCCACACUGGAACUGAGACACGGUCCAGACUCCUACGGGAGGCAGCAGUGGGGAAUUUUGCGCAAUGGGGGAAACCCUGACGCAGCAACGCCGCGUGGGUGAUGAAGGCCUUCGGGUCGUAAAGCUCUGUCUGGAGGGAAGAAAUGAUUGGGAGCUAAUACCUCUUGAUCUUGACGGUACCUCUGAAGGAAGCACCGGCUAACUCCGUGCCAGCAGCCGCGGUAAUACGGAGGGUGCAAGCGUUGUUCGGAAUUAUUGGGCGUAAAGCGCGUGUAGGCGGUCUUUUAAGUCUGAUGUGAAAGCCCCGGGCUCAACCUGGGAAGUGCAUUGGAAACUGGGAGGCUUGAGUACGGGAGAGGAGAGUGGAAUUCCUAGUGUAGGAGUGAAAUCCGUAGAUAUUAGGAGGAACACCGGUGGCGAAGGCGGCUCUCUGGACCGAUACUGACGCUGAGACGCGAAAGCGUGGGUAGCAAACGGGAUUAGAUACCCCGGUAGU
rnacentral:rRNA from 1 species